UUUCAGUCAGCUGCAUCUUGAGGCUGCCUUGGUUUUAACUUUGAAUUCCUUGUGCAUUCCAAUGCUCAAAAAUGUUAAAAAUGAAGAGGAAAAUAUCCCAGAAAUGGAAGACUGUGAAACCCUGGUCAUGCAAGAGAAGGUCAAACUCACCAAUAAGAACUGCAAGAGUAACUACAGAAUAAAGCCAGAGGCCAGAGGGAAUUUAACUUAGGAAACAAGAAGAUUAAAUUUGGUCUGAAGGAGUUCUUGGGAUGGACUUACGCUGGGUUGCACAGGUUCAGUCCUUCACUUUUUACUGGAAGAAGAUCUACAGAAAAGAAAAUAAUGCUACACUGAGGAGCAACAGUGUUUCUACCAUAAUCAGCCAUAAAAGCUUUGGUGCAAUUGUGCUUGGAUCAA